UCUCUCUCUCUCUCUCUCUCUCUCUCUGUGUGUGUGUGUGUGUGUGUGUGUGUGUAUGUCUCUGUGUGUAUGGCUGUGUGUAUACAAGACUGGGUAUACCAUGGUAUAUAAGUGCUCACGUAGAAAUGAGAUCAGAAGACAACUUUGUGGCAUUAUUUCUCUUUACACAGUUUCACAGAUUCCAGGAAUCAAAUCCGGGUUGCUAAAACUAAGCAUUUUAAACUAAGCAUUGUUUUCUGCUGACCCAUCUUGCUGCCUCAAGCAGCAUGUUUUCUGAUGGGAAUCCAGUUUGUGCUAUGUCUGACAGGAAUUAUCCAAUAUACAAUGUUAUCUCACAUUGCACUGGCACCAAGACAUCCCUACUAAUGUGAGAGACAUCUAUAGAGACAUCUAUUUCACAUCAAUUUAGAUGCAAACUAAAGCACAACCAGUUUUUUUUCUUGCAGAUAUGACCCUGGUCUUACAUUGUUUUAUAGCUGUUUUUAAUUUUUAUGUGAUGAUGUGUGGGUUUUGUAACUUUACGUUAAAUUUCAAAUUCUCUUCAUAACUUUGUGACUGUUAUCUUAGCUGAUGACAAGGAAGCACUGUUGUUUUACAGCUACCUAUUGAAAUUAAAUUCCCAUAAGGAGAGAAGGUAAAAUUACUAUUUCAUAAGAAGGAAACACUUUUCUAUAAAUUUGAGUCUGAGUGCAAAUCUUUACAGCAUGGAGAUCCAAUGUCUAUCCUAAUGUUUAGCAACUGUAAGCAGGGUAUAAAAUGUUUAUGAUGCUAGUUACUUUUUGGUAUCCAGAUGAUAUAAUCUGAAGAAAACUCAGGCUUUGAGCUCCAGCCUUAUAAAGGAUUUCAUUGCUGAACCUUGAUGUCUUCAACUAUACGAUGGGCAUGUACUUAACUUCACAACAUGCUCUGACAACUGAGUAGCAGAAGUCUUUGGCAUGAUCUCUGUAAACAAUUGCUUUGUCUAAAGAGUGUUCUUGUAGAGCACACUGCUGUGCCAUGCCUUCCUAAAUGCCCACUGUUCUGCCAUAUGUUAGGAAGUUUGAAUACUUACAAUUUCAACGUGAAUUUAAGCUGAUUUGCCAAAGGAAAAAAAAAAUUGCUGAGUUCUUUCUCUCAGCAAAGUCUUAUUUCUUUGGCAAAUCUACUUUAAUUAAGUUAAAAUUAUACUCCAGCCUCCCCAUCCUGGCAUUACCCUACACUGUGACAUUGACCUCUCCUCCCAUUGAUACCCAACAAGGCCAUCCUCUGCUACAAACAGGGCUAGAGGCAUGUGUCCCUCCAUAUGUACUCUGGUUGGUGGUUUAGUCCCUGGGAGCUCUGGGUUGGUCUGGUUGGUUGAUAUUGUUUUUCUUCCUAUGGGGUUGCAAAGCCCUUCAGGGAGCACCCUUAUAGGAGUAGGGAGAGGAAGAAUAGGAUAGAGAGUUUCCAGAGGGGGAAAUUGGGAAAGGGGAUAACACUUGAAUUGUAAAUAAAGAAAAUAUCCAAUGGU
rnacentral:lncRNA from 1 species